AACCGAGAACUCCUACGGGAGGCAGCAGUAGGGAAUUUUCCACAAUGGACGAAAGUCUGAUGGAGCAACGCCGCGUGAACGAUGAAGGUCUUCGGAUUGUAAAGUUCUGUUGUCAGGGACGAACACGUACCGUUCGAAUAGGGCGGUACCUUGACGGUACCUGACGAGAAAGCCACGGCUAACUACGUGCCAGCAGCCGCGGUAAUACGUAGGUGGCAAGCGUUGUCCGGAUUUAUUGGGCGUAAAGCGCGCGCAGGCGGCUAUGUAAGUCUGGUGUUAAAGCCCGGGGCUCAACCCCGGUUCGCAUCGGAAACUGUGUAGCUUGAGUGCAGAAGAGGAAAGCGGUAUUCCACGUGUAGCGGUGAAAGGCCUAGAGAUGUGGAGGAACACCAGUGGCGAAGGCGGCUUUCUGGUCUGUAACUGACGCUGAGGCGCGAAAGCGUGGGGAGCAAACAGGAUUAGAAACCCGAGUAGUCCGACUGAGA
rnacentral:rRNA from 1 species